rnacentral:lncRNA from 1 species
GGACAGCGAGUGGGGGCUGGAGGCUACACCAGGAGCUUUCCCCAAAGAGUGCACAUCGGUGGCAACUGAGACUUUUAAAUAAAGAAGCGCUCUGUAGCUCGGCCACGUUUAGCGGGCCACCAAGGACCACCUUGCAGGAUGUCCCCCUCUCCGACCCCUCCCCUACGUGGCCUGCGAUAGCGAAGGCGACAGUAGCCCCCAAGAACUAGGCCAGCUGCCAAGGCGAGCGCCCCAGCGCCCCGCCCUCCCGAGUCACCGCGUGCGCACUCCGCAUGCGCGGCGCGGACGGCCGCUCCCAUUGGCCGGCAGCCCCGUCCGUCAGCGGGCGGGACGAGCGCGGAGAGAAAAAGGCUACAUUGUAACAAGGAACAGCACGUGCCGUUCAAAUUAAAAUGGGUCACAGAUAUUGAGAAUCGGGAAACUGCACAGUUGGUCACUGGCCGUCUAGGAAAUGUGUCAGCCGUGCUCGCUUGCCUGUCUCUCAGUCUCUCCGUCUGGGAAAUGGGAUUCAGCAUCAAGGAGGGAUGGAAGGCAGCGAGGGAAAGACCGGACGGAAUUUUCAUGAAGACAAAAUGCCUGGAAGGCCGCAGUGCUUCUCUGGGCCCCCGAAAACCAAGGGGCUAGGAGGGUCCGGGAAGGCGUAGCCAGGGCAACCACUCACCAACAGUCUGCUCCCGGCUGGCCUGCCAGGUGCGUGUCCCAACUGUGAGGGCUGUGCUGCCGGGGAGAAUCUGAAACGCGGUGUGUCCCCAGUUGGGGUUGUCAAGAGGGUGCACCCCAGUCUGACUGCCCAGAGAGUCAUGUCCCCCACAACCCCCAGCCAUCAAAGCGUUCCAGAACCGGCCUAGGCAGGCCUCCUCCUACUGGAAAGGAAUCGUGUCUCAGCCCCAGGUCUGAGAGGUCCACAUGGGGGUCUAUGGUCAGAUCUGAGGGCCGAGGCUCUGGGAUUCUGGAUGUCAGUCUGGACUAGGAGGGAAGCCUUAGGCUAAUCCCCUUGUCUAUGGCAUUACAAGCACUCCUUGCAAUUCCACCACUGUCCUUUGCUGUGUGAUCUUGAGUAAAUGGUUUCACC